rnacentral:rRNA from 1 species
UGCGUAGGUGGCAGUGCAAGUCAGAUGUGAAAGGCCGGGGCUCAACUCCGGAGCUGCAUUUGAAACUGCAUAGCUAGAGUACAGGAGAGGCAGGCGGAAUUCCUAGUGUAGCGGUGAAAUGCGUAGAUAUUAGGAGGAACACCAGUGGCGAAGGCGGCCUGCUGGACUGUUACUGACACUGAGGCACGAAAGCGUGGGGAGCAAACA